CCUACGGGUGUCUGCAGUGGGGAAUAUUGCACAAUGGGGGAAACCCUGAUGCAGCGACGCCGCGUGAGUGAAGAAGUAUUUCGGUAUGUAAAUCUCUAUCAGCAGGGAAGUAAAUGACGGUCCCUGUUUAAGAAGCCCCGUCUAACUACGUGACAGCAGCCGCGGUAAUACGUAGGCGGCAAGCGUUAUCCGGAUUUACUGGGUGUAAAGGGAGCGUAGACGGCAGGACAAGUCUGGAGUUAAAUGCCGGGGCUUAACCCCGGAACUGCGUUGGAAACUGGGCAGCUAGAGUGCAGGAGAGGUAAGGGGAAUUCCUAGUGUAGCGGGGAAAGGCGUAGAUAUGAGGAGGAACACCAGUGGCGAAGGCAGCUUACUGGACUGUAACUGACGUUGAGGCUCGAAAGCGUGGGGAGCAAACAGGAUUAGAUACCCGUGUAGUC
rnacentral:rRNA from 1 species